rnacentral:rRNA from 2 species
CCUGCCCACUGAAAAAUUUUAAAUGGCCGCAGUAAUUUGACUGUGCAAAGGUAGCAUAAUCAUUAGUUUUUUAAUUAAAAGCUUGUAUGAAGGGUUGGACGAGAUAAAAUCUGUCUUUAUUUAAAUAAUAUUAGAAUUUAAUUUUUAAGUUAAAAAGCUUAAAUUUAUAUAAAAGACGAGAAGACCCUAUAGAUCUUUAUAUUAUUAAAGAUAAUUUUAAUUAAGAUUAUUUAAUUUUUUAUUUUUUAUAAUAUUUUAUUGGGGUAAUAAAAAAAUUUAAUUAAUUUUUUUUUAUAUAUUACAUUAAUUAAUGAAUUUAUGAUCCAUAAUUUAUGAUUAUAAGAUUAAGUUACCUUAGGGAUAACAGCGUAAUUUUUUUAGAGAGUUCAUAUCGAUAAAAAAGUUUGCGACCUCGAUGUUGGAUUAAAAAUUAUUUUAGGCGCAGAAGUUUAAAAAUUUGGUCUGUUCGACCAUUAAAUUUUUACAUGAUCUGAGUUCAGACCGGUGUAAGCCAGGUCGGUUUCUAUCUUUAUUUAUUUAUAAUAUUUUAGUACGAAAGGACCAAAUAUUUAAUAUAUUAAUAUUUUUAAUUUUGAAUAUUAUUAAU